UCUAAAAAACGCUGGGUUGUUUUUUCAACCCAACUGCUGGGUUGAGGCCGUUGGAUAGGACUUUGGGAUGUUUUAACCCAAGUUUGGGUUGAAAAUAACUCUCUUUUUUAACCCAGCGGGCUGGGUUGAGGACGCGGACGUGAAGGAGAGCACGCACGUCACGUCAAAAUCGUACGUCUCCAGUGCGAGCAGCCGCCAUUUUCUCAGCGUGAUAGAAGCGAGAAGCGAGUGAAAGACUAUGGUAAGUAAAUAUUCAAAAUGUAAAGUUAUCUUUUAUUGUUUACCCGGUUGUAUGAAAGGCGGAAGGUUUUAUGAAAGGCGGAAACAAAGGAGCUUAACGUUAUAUAUAUUUAAAAAAAAAAAACGGACGCGGUUUUCGCCUCAGACACGGAGGUCUUAACUGCCUCAUAUAACGUUACUGAACGGAGGAUGUACUUUUAAUAUAACGUCUGUGAAUGUAUUUUGUCAUAUUUACAUAAGAUUUUACAUUAUCUGUACUUUUUGAGGCGUUAACAGACGGUUAUGGUCACGGUUACGCUCAUGUGAAUUUGUCUUUUUUUUCGCGGUUAAACUGAAUGUAUGUUUGUCUCCUAAAGGAAACGGCAUUGUGUAGUAAAGACUACCAUAAUUAUUUUGAGGCUGUUGAAGUGGUAACUGUUAAAAGUAUGUUUUACAUGUAAUAUUUCAGACUUGUCAAGCUUUUGUCAUCAUUGUCCUCGCGCUGAGAGUUAAAGACACAGAAGCUGUUUGUGUGAGGAUGAGGAGGAGGUGUUCUUCUGAAGAGAGGGAGAGACGGUUUAAGGAGAGUAAACUUCAGAAUAACAUCAAGUUAUCUUUAUUUUUACUAAGACUAAAAUAAUGUGUGUUUUUUUUUUAGAUGUUGAAAUCCAGAGACAAGAUAACUUCAUUCUUUUGAGACUGAUAACUCAAACUAACUGGAGUUAAGGACACACAAGUCUGCUUGUGUGAGGAGGUGGUUUUCUCAGCUUCUUCUGAAGAGAGGGAAAGAUCGUUUAAGGCAAGUAAACUUCAUAAUUUCAUGUUAUCAGUUGUUGUUGUGUUUUACUAAGAGUAAAAUAAUGUUUGUUUUUUGUUUUUGUAGAUGUUAAAAGCAAGAGACAUGGGAGAGCAUCAUUCCUUUGAGAUUUUAUAACUCAAACCAACUUUGGAGUUGUCUUGUCUGAUUUGGAGAGUCAUCAUUCUUGGUCUUCACUCUUAGAGGCCACUGAUGAAGAACAGGCGGUGUUUGGGAUGAAUGCUGAUCAGAGAGGAGAAUCUUCUUUCCCCUAAACUGAUGCAGCGGUGGUUUUAAAGGAGGACCCUGCCCUGGAUGAUGUAGAAGAUGUCACAUGCUGUGCUGAUGGGGCUUCUUCAUGACUACAUCAGUUAUGCUAAAGAGAUCAUGAAAAUUGACCGUGAUGCAUGAUCUGUAUUCAUGGACUAUGAAACAAACUGUAAGUGUAUAAUUUGUUAAAAAAAAAAAGUUAAAUGCUUUUUCUGUGUUGUUUAGUAGAAGAGUUUACACUCUGUCAUUCAUACACCUGCUCACAUUCACACACACACACACACACACACACACACACAUGCGUCUGUUAAAUGUUAUAAUAUCAAAGUUAAUGUUGUGAUUUAUUUGUGUACUGUCAUGCCAGAAUAGUUGGAAAAAAACCUAACUAAUUGUAAAUUUAUUGUAUGUGUUUUCGUAUAUUUUUAUACAAUAUAUAUACAAUUGAACAAAGUCCAAUUUGAUCUUAAGUUAUAUUCAUCAAAUGUUCAAUGCUUUGUUUAUGAACUCUGUAGCUGUUAAUGCCAUCCUUUUCUGCAGUUCUUCUAACAUGUUAC